AGCUCCAAUAGCGUAUACUAAUGUUGUUGCAGUUAGAAAGCUCGUAGUUGGAUUUCUGGCUUCGGUGCACCUGGCCCGGGGACCUGGUGUCCUUGUGAGCCGGUUUGUGCAUCGGCCAUCCUUCGGGAGAGUGUCUCUGCCCUUGAUUGGGUUGGAGGCAGGAUCCUGACCGUUUACUUUGAAAAAAUUAGAGUGUUCAAAGCAGGCCUUUUGUGCUGUGAAUACAUUAGCAUGGAAUAAUAAGAUAGGACUUCGGCCCUAUUUUGUUGGUUUCUGGGUUGCUGAGGUAAUGAUUGAUAGGGAUAGUUGGGGGUGCUCGUAUUCAACGGCCAGAGGUGAAAUUCUUGGAUUCGUUGAAGACGAACUUAUGCGAAAGCAUUCACCAAGGAUGUCUUCUUUA
rnacentral:rRNA from 1 species